GACGAACGCUGGCGGCGUGCUUAACACAUGCAAGUCGAACGGAAAGGCCCUGCUUUUGUUGGGUGCUCGAUUGGCGAACGGGUGAGUAACACGUGAGUAACCUGCCCUUGACUUUGUGAUAACUUCAGGAAACUGGGGCUAAUACCGGAUAGGAGCUCCUGCUGCAUGUUGGGGGUUGGAAAGUUUCGGCGGUUGGGGAUGGACUCGCGGCUUAUCAGCUUGUUGGUGGGGUAGUGGCUUACCAAGGCUUUGACGGGUAGCCGGCCUGAGAGGGUGACCGGCCACAUGGGGACUGAGAUACGGCGCAGAAUCCUACGGGAGGCAGCAGUGGGGAAUAUUGCACAAUGGGCGGAAGCCUGAUGCAGCAACGCCGCGUGCGGGAUGACGGCCUUCGGGUUGUAAACCGCUUUCGCCUGUGACGAAGCGUGAGUGACGGUAAUGGGUAAAGAAGCACCGGCUAACUACGUG
rnacentral:rRNA from 1 species